rnacentral:lncRNA from 1 species
GACCAGGUCUUCGGCUGUGCGCUGGCCACAUUGUGCGCGCGUGAGAAGAGCUCCGUGCCACGCUUCGUGCAGCAGUGCGUGCACGCCGUCGAGGCCCGGGGGCUGGACACGGACGGGCUGUACCGCAUCAGCGGGAACCUGGCCACCAUCCAGAAGCUCCGCUACCACGUGGACCACGAUGAGCGCCUGGACCUGGAUGACGGCCGCUGGACUGACGUCCACGUGCUCACCGGCGCGCUCAAGCUCUUCCUGCGCGAGCUGCCUGAGCCGCUCUUCCCCUUCUCGCACUUCAGCCAGUUCCUCGCAGCCAUCAAGCUGCAGGACCCAGCCCGGCGCCGCUGCGUGCGGGACCUGGUGCGCUCGCUGCCCACUCCGAACCAUGACACUCUGCAGCUGCUGUUCCAGCACCUGCGCCGGGUGGUGGAACAGGGGGAGCAGAACCGCAUGUCAGUGCAGAGUGUGGCCAUCGUGUUCGGGCCCACUCUGCUGCGGCCCGAGACAGAGGAGGGCAGCAUGCCCAUGACCAUGGUGUUCCAGAACCAGGUGGUGGAGCUCAUCCUGCAGCAGUGCGCAGACAUCUUCCCGCCACCCUGAUGGCUGCCACCCACCCUUGUUGCCGCGGGGAGGCGCCUGGCCAGAGCCCUGUGCAGGUAACCAGGAAGAGCCUGACAGGACCAUGUGACCUCCAGUCUAAGCCUCCCUGGCCCAGGAUGAAGAACUGGCUUCAUCUGCCUUCCUGUCUGUGGAUCCACAUCGGGAUCCAGUCAGUCCACUGUGUCCUGGGCAAGGUUUUUUCACACCCAUGAGCUGCGAGCCCUGGGCCUGCUAUAGAGGAGCUCUGUCAAUACAGAGCCCUGAUGCAGGAAGGAAACCAGCUCUCAAGGCCUCCCUCACCAGGGUGCGGGCUCCAGGGAGGGGACCUGGCCUCUGCCCCCCUUUCCAGCGUGGGCCAGAGAGCAGCCUGCCCCCUGUUCUGGGGGAGGAGCACGUGGCAGGGCCCUCACGCCCCUCUGCCAAGCUGGCCACUGGGGCCUACCUUGCCACAGCGCUGGGAGGGGCCUGGGGGGGACAGCCUCCGGAAAGGAGGGGUGCACCUGCCUAUCCUCAUGCACAAACCGCGGAGGCUGUGGAUCUCAGGCCCCGCCUCCCCCUUCAUGGCUCAGUGAACAAUAGUAGCUCAUUGCAUUGAGCAUCCACACCAGGCCACGCAUCCUGCCCCAGUUACCUUUGUGUCCCUUGCAGUCGGUAUUUAUUGUGUUCUUGUGUGCCAGGCACAUGCUGUCUGCCCCAUGGAGCUGGGGUCCAGGCAAGAGAUGGAGACCUCCUACCAUGCAUCUAAAUAUUUAAAAGAUGCAAAUCAAGCCAAGAACUGU